GAUGAACGCUGGCGGCGUGCCUAAUACAUGCAAGUCGAGCGAACGGACGAGAAGCUUGCUUCUCUGAUGUUAGCGGCGGACGGGUGAGUAACACGUGGAUAACCUACCUAUAAGACUGGGAUAACUUCGGGAAACCGUAGCUAAUACCGGAUAAUAUUUUGAACCGCAUGGUUCAAAAGUGAAAGACGGUCUUGCCGUCACUUAUAGAUGGAUCCGCGCUGCAUUAGCUAGUUGGUAAGGUAACGGCUUACCAAGGCAACGAUGCAUAGCCGACCUGAGAGGGUGAUCGGCCGCACUGGAACUGAGACACGGUCCAGACUCCUACGGGAGGCAGCAGUAGGGAAUCUUCCGCAAUGGGCGAAAGCCUGACGGAGCAACGCCGCGUGAGUGAUGAAGGUCUUCGGAUCGUAAAACUCUGUUAUUAGGGAAGAACAUAUGUGUAAGUAACUGUGCACAUCUUGACGGUACCUAAUCAGAAAGCCACGGCUAACUACGUG
rnacentral:rRNA from 1 species